rnacentral:rRNA from 1 species
ACUCGAGUGGCGAACGGGUGAGUAACACGUGGUUGAUCUGCCCUGCACUUCGGGAUAAGCUUGGGAAACUGGGUCUAAUACCGGAUAGGAGCCAUCUCUAGUGUGGUGGUUGGAAAGUUUUUUCGGUGUAGGAUGAGCUCGCGGCCUAUCAGCUUGUUGGUGGGGUAGUGGCUUACCAAGGCUUUGACGGGUAGCCGGCCUGAGAGGGUGACCGGCCACAUUGGGACUGAGAUACGGCCCAG